rnacentral:rRNA from 1 species
AGCAUAUCAAUAAGCGGAGGAAAAGAAACCAACAGGGAUUGCCUCAGUAACGGCGAGUGAAGCGGCAAAAGCUCAAAUUUGAAAUCUAGCACUUUCAGUGUUCGAGUUGUAAUUUGAAGAAGGUAACUUUGGUUUUGGCUCUUGUCUAUGUUCCUUGGAACAGGACGUCACAGAGGGUGAGAAUCCCGUGCGAUGAGAUGCCCAAUUCCAUGUAAAGUGCUUUCGAAGAGUCGAGUUGUUUGGGAAUGCAGCUCUAAGUGGGUGGUAAAUUCCAUCUAAAGCUAAAUAUUGGCGAGAGACCGAUAGCGAACAAGUACAGUGAUGGAAAGAUGAAAAGAACUUUGAAAAGAGAGUGAAAAAGUACGUGAAAUUGUUGAAAGGGAAGGGCUUGAGAUCAGACUUGGUAUUUUGCGUUCCCUUCCUUUUUGGUUGGGUUCCUCGCAGUUUACUGGGCCAGCAUCGGUUUGGAUGGUAGGAUAAUGACAUUGGAAUGUAGCUUUACUUCGGUGAAGUGUUAUAGACUUUGUUGAUACUGCCUAUCUAGACCGAGGACUGCGUCUUUGACUAGGAUGCUGGCGUAAUGAUCUUAAGCCGCCCGUCUUGAAACACGGACCAAGGAGUCUAACGUCUAUGCAAGUGUUUGGGUGUAAAACCCGUACGCGUAAUGAAAGUGAACGUAGGUGAGAGCCUUUUAGGUGCAUCAUCGACCGAUCCUGAUGUCUUCGGAUGGAUUUGAGUAAGAGCAUAGCUGUUGGGACCCGAAAGAUGGUGAACUAUGCCUGAAUAGGGUGAAGCCAGAGGAAACUCUGGUGGAGGCUCGUAGCGGUUCUGACGUGCAAAUCGAUCGUCGAAUUUGGGUAUAGGGGCGAAAGACUAAUCGAACCAUCUAGUAGCUGGUUCCUGCCGAGU